GACGAACGCUGGCGGCGUGCUUAACACAUGCAAGUCGAACGAUGAAGCCUAGCUUGCUAGGUGGAUUAGUGGCGAACGGGUGAGUAAUACGUGAGUAACCUACCUUUAACUCUGGGAUAAGCCUGGGAAACUGGGUCUAAUACCGGAUACGACCAAUCUCCGCAUGGGGUGUUGGUGGAAAGCGUUAUGUAGUGGUUAUAGAUGGGCUCACGGCCUAUCAGCUUGUUGGUGAGGUAACGGCUCACCAAGGCGACGACGGGUAGCCGGCCUGAGAGGGUGACCGGCCACACUGGGACUGAGACACGGCCCAGACUCCUACGGGAGGCAGCAGUGGGGAAUAUUGCACAAUGGGCGCAAGCCUGAUGCAGCGACGCCGCGUGAGGGAUGACGGCCCUCGGGUUGUAAACCUCUGUUAGCAGGGAAGAAAAGAGAUUGACGGGACCUGCAGAGAAAGCGCCGGCUAACUACCCGCCAGCAGCCGCGGUAAUACGUAGGGCGCGAGCGUUGUCCGGAAUUAUUGGGCGUAAAAACCUUGUAAGCGGUUUGUCGCGUCUGCUGUGAAGGCCGGAGCUUAACUCCGUGUAUUGCAGUGGGUACGGGCAGACUAGAGUGCAGUAGGGGAGACUGGAAUUCCUGGUGUAGCGGUGGAAUGCGCAGAUAUCAGGAGGAACACCGAUGGCGAAGGCAGGUCUCUGGGCUGUAACUGACGCUGAGAAGCGAAAGCAUGGGGAGCGAACAGGAUUAGAUACCCUGGUAGUCCAUGCCGUAAACGUUGGGCACUAGGUGUGGGGAACAUUCCACGUUUUCCGCGCCGUAGCUAACGCAUUAAGUGCCCCGCCUGGGGAGUACGGCCGCAAGGCUAAAACUCAAAGAAAUUGACGGGGGCCCGCACAAGCGGCGGAGCAUGCGGAUUAAUUCGAUGCAACGCGAAGAACCUUACCAAGGCUUGACAUAUACUGGACCGCAUCAGAGAUGGUGUUUCCCUUCGGGGCUGGUAUACAGGUGGUGCAUGGUUGUCGUCAGCUCGUGUCGUGAGAUGUUGGGUUAAGUCCCGCAACGAGCGCAACCCUCGUUCUAUGUUGCCAGCACGUUAUGGUGGGGACUCAUAGGAGACUGCCGGGGUCAACUCGGAGGAAGGUGGGGAUGACGUCAAAUCAUCAUGCCCCUUAUGUCUUGGGCUUCACGCAUGCUACAAUGGCCGGUACAGAGGGUUGCGAUACUGUGAGGUGGAGCUAAUCCCUAAAAGCCGGUCUCAGUUCGGAUUGGGGUCUGCAACUCGACCCCAUGAAGUCGGAGUCGCUAGUAAUCGCAGAUCAGCAACGCUGCGGUGAAUACGUUCCCGGGCCU
rnacentral:rRNA from 1 species